GGGGGAUAGCCCGGGGAAACCCGGAUUAAUACCCCAUAGUAUCGUUUGAUGGCAUCUGAAGACGAUUAAAGAUUUAUUGGUAAUGGAUGGGCAUGCGUCUGAUUAGUUAGUUGGUGAGGUAACGGCUCACCAAGACGAUGAUCAGUAGGGGGUCUGAGAGGAUGAUCCCCCACACUGGAACUGAGACACGGUCCAGACUCCUACG
rnacentral:rRNA from 1 species